rnacentral:rRNA from 1 species
GGGUCAGUAGGUUGGUCGUGCCACCGGUACGUACUGGUCUCACUGAUUCCUCCUUCCUGAAGAACCGUAAUGCCAUUAAUUUGGUGUUGCGGGGAAACAGGACUGUUACUUUGAAAAAAUUAGAGUGUUUAAAGCAAGCUAACGCUCGAAUACAUUAGCAUGGAAUAAUGAAAUAGGACGAUCGAUCCUAUUUUGUUGGUUCCUAGGAUUGACGUA